AUUGAACGCUGGCGGCAGGCCUAACACAUGCAAGUCGAACGGUAGCACAGAGAGCUUGCUCUCGGGUGACGAGUGGCGGACGGGUGAGUAACGUCUGGGAAACUGCCCGAUGGAGGGGGAUAACUACUGGAAACGGUAGCUAAUACCGCAUAACGUCGCAAGACCAAAGUGGGGGACCUUCGGGCCUCACACCAUCGGAUGUGCCCAGAUUGGAUUAGCUAGUAGGUGGGGUAAUGGCUCACCUAGGCGACGAUCCCUAGCUGUUCUGAGAGGAUGACCAGCCACACUGGAACUGAGACACGGUCCAGACUCCUACGGGAGGCAGCAGUGGCGAAUAUUGCACAAUGGGCGCAAGCCUGAUGCAGCCAUGCCGCGUGUAUGAAGAAGGCCUUCGGGUUGUAAAGUACUUUCAGCGGGGAUGAAGGCGGUGAAGUUAAUAACUUCACCGAUUGACGUUACCCGCAGAAGAAGCACCGGCUAACUCCGUGCCAGCAGCCGCGGUAA
rnacentral:rRNA from 1 species